GACGAACGCUGGCGGCGUGCUUAACACAUGCAAGUCGAGCGGAAAGGCCCUGCCUUUGUGGGGUGCUCGAGUGGCGAACGGGUGAGUAACACGCGAGUAACCUGCCCUUGACUUUGGGAUAACUUCAGGAAACUGGGGCUAAUACCAGAUAGGAGCUCCUGCGGCAUGGUGGGGGUUGGAAAGUUUCGGCGGUUGGGGAUGGACUCGCGGCUUAUCAGCUUGUUGGUGGGGUAGUGGCUUACCAAGGGUUUGACGGGUAGCCGGCCUGAGAGGGUGACCGGCCACAUUGGGACUGAGAUACGGCCCAGAAUCCUACGGGAGGCAGCAGUGGGGAAUAUUGCACAAUGGGCGGAAGCCUGAUGCAGCAACGCCGCGUGCGGGAUGACGGCCUUCGGGUUGUAAACCGCUUUCGCCUGUGACGAAGCGUGAGUGACGGUAAUGGGUAAAGAAGCACCGGCUAACUACGUG
rnacentral:rRNA from 1 species